GAAAGAAAGAAAGAAAGAGAGGAAGUGAGUAGGUGUGUGAGAAAGAGAGAGAGUGAGAGAGAAAUUAAAAAAUGUCAUAAGUAACACAAUAGUGCAGUAGCAAAAUGAAAAAGACGGUUAUAGUUUCUAUUUUGAAGAUUGUAUUUUUUUAAAACUCUUUAUUCAUUUCGACUUCCACAUAACGCGCACUUAUUUAUAUCUAUGCGAAUUAGGUGCGCCAUAUGUGUGCGCGUGUGUGUGUGUAUGUGUAUGCGUUUACCAUGGUUAAGAACGAAAGAAUUUGUGUGUGACAUGUAUGUAUGUAUGUAUGUAUGUAUGUAUGUAUAUCUGUUGUUGUUAUGUUAAACGUAUGCGUGGGUGGUGAAUUAAAUGACGCCCACAUAAUUUGCGUAUCUUCAAACGGGAUGUGUAUCGUAAAAUAAUUUUUCUUUGCCUCCUACGAAUCUUUCGCCAGAUUUUUUACGCGUUUUAUAAUCAACGAACAAACGGAUCGGAACGGAAUGGAACGAAAUAAUACAAUGCGAAUAAAAAACACAUAAAUACACCACAAAAGCCAUAGAUAUACGUAUUUAUCGAAACACUUAUAGGAAUUUUACGCGAAACGUUUCGCAAGGGGCAGAUGAAAUAUUUGUUCUUAUGAUAAUAGUGGGUUUUUUGGUUUUUUUUCUUUUCUUUUCUUCUUUUUUUUUUAAUACGGAAAGUCAGCCAUCAUCGUUUUACUAAAACUCGUUACUUCGUAUAUAUAUAUGCAUAACAAUAGGGUGCUUCGUACACAUCUGCUCGAUCGUUAACAAAAUAAAUAUAUAUAAAUAAGUAAAUUAAUAAAAAGGAAAAUAUAUAUAAAAUUGGAAAGGAAAAAAAAAUUCAUUACGAACACCGUGCUUCUCGAUAUAUCCAUGCAUAUAUUUAUAUACAUAUACAUAUAUAUAUAUAUAUAUAUAUAUAUAUAUAUAUAUAUGCACUCUUCUGUGAUUGAUUGCUUCAUUUAAGUGUGAACAACGUAUGGUAUAUCAUUUCUAUACAUAUAUACGAGUAUUAUCAGUGACGAUAUAGAAAUUAACGAGAAACGAUUAUAUUCGAUUACUUUUUUCCAACAUGGCCGACGGAAGUGUACGAAGAUAUUUUUAUUUUAAAUUUUAAACCGAGGGGGAAAAAGAAUUGGAAAGGAAAAAAAAACAAAGUAUAUAUUAAGAAUACACGUGUAAGUAAUUACUUCAUGUACUUAUUUACAUAACACGUUCAUUGAUAAUAUCAAACUUAUAACAAAAAAAAAAAGGCAAUCGAUUCUCGCUACUAUAGUCUCGUUGCAAAACUAGUUAGCUUAGGUAGGCAAAACAAUUGUGUGUACAUAUAUUUAAUUAAUAUUAACGUUGUAAGUAAAUGUGUAUAUAUAUAUAUAUAUAUACACGUAUAUCUGGGAAUAUCGCGCAUUAACAAGCACAGAUGCAUUUAUUAUCGGAAAGAUCAGGAUCGGCCAAUGGAAUUAGCUGAUUAGGGCCUAUGAAUGUAUACAAAAAUAAAUAAUAAUAAAAAAAAGAAAAAAAUAAAUAAAAAUAAAAAUAAAAAAUAAAAUAAAAAUAGAAAUAUAUAAAAAACAUUAAGAACAGAAGGACAAAAGUAAAGAAGAAAAGGUAGGGGGUUGGAUAAGUAUAUGGAGGCAGAGAAUUGUUAAAAAAAAAAUAUACAUAUGUCAAUCAUUAGAAAAUUUUCUACCUUACCAAACGACGAUAAGAGAUAAAUAAUAAUAAUAAUAAUAAUAAAACGAAAGAAGGUGGAGGGGGAAGAGAAAAAAAAAUUAAUUGAUCACGUCACAAAAGUAGUAAAUGUCAAAAAAAAAGAAUCGUCGUUAUCGUGCGUCGAUAAUAUAGGAAUCAUCGUUAUCGUUUAGAUUCGCGCAACGAGAAGAAGAAAUUUUACUGAUUAACAACGACGAGGACGACGAUGACGACGACGACGAGACAGUAGAGGCCUUCGUUCUCUUUGCGUGUUCGCCACUAUUUUUGUAGUAGAGGUCUAGAUACGAAAGGAAAACGAACGGGUGUCGCGUGGUUCGUGAGAUUUUUACAUUCAGUACGGCUCGGGGCUUCAGUCGGAUCGAGCUCAGGAGGCCUCUUCUUCCGACACCGUCGUCUUUUUACUACUACUCAUCAUCAUCAUCAUCAUCAUCAUCAUCAUCUCCAGUUAAAUUUGUAAUCGUAUACUCGUCGUCCCCGUCUCUCGUUUUGUUAUUAAUAAAGAAAAAAAAAAUUUCAAGAAGACAGAAUAAAAACCAUUCGACGAGGGAAUAAAAUAAACUUCUAUUUUUAAACAAA
rnacentral:lncRNA from 1 species